AAGCUGCCAACACGAAACAGCAGCAUACCUGUUAUCAAAAGGCCAAUGAUGUAGAUGUCUUCCACAUUCCUCCACGGACAGUACUGUCAGGCACACCAGUCUCCACUUUCUCCAUGGAUCCAGGGCGUAUCCGGCAGCAAGUGUCCCCGGAGGGCAAGCAGGCUCCCCACUGCCCGCUCUUUCCGUCGAAAAAAUGUUGUCGAUUACAUCGAGAGACCAGCCAACUAAUUCAAUAGUUAGUUCUUCGGAUGAAAACAUGGUAGGAGGCUAGGGAAAAAGAGUUGGACAAAGACAGCACAAAAGACUAAGUGGCGAGCACGAAAAAAAAAAAUUUGGGAGGGCAGGGGAGCUGUGCAAAAAGUGUCCGCCUUCGUCGAGAGCCAAGCAGAAAAGUAUAUUAAAAGAAGAUUAACUGUGAUCAAUGAAAUUUUCACAUCUCGACUGAGCAGGAUUCAUCAGGCUGAUUGUAUUUUAUGUACCUUCUUACUGAGAUGCUGAGAUUUCUUUUCCUUCAGUGCAUUGAAAAGUUUUUUUGACCUUUUUGGUUGUUGUAAUAAAUUAGAAAAUCUAUCAUUGUUAUCAGUGUUAUAAUACUUUUGAAUUCUUUAUUACAGUUAGUUUUUUAUUUGCAACGUUUGAAUGUAGUUUGUUCUCAUUAGUUCUCAUAGAGGUUUGGUCAUUUGAAUUCAUUCUUGUCUUUUUUGUUUUGUUUCUUCUCUUUGCUUCAAAAUCUUGGAUCAGCUGAGUCUUCUUCAAAUCCCUCCCUCAACAUCGGUGAGAUUCGUGAUUGGUUUCCCAGCAGUGAGAUAUAAAACCAGGAGCCCUAAAACAGAAGUUUUUCCUGUAUUUCAAUGUUUACCUUCAUUAGAACCCACCACCAGAGACCAACCAGCCAAACCCCAGCGAGCGUGAGGGAGCCGACAAACCCACUUGCCACUUUAGAAACACCCAGCAGCAAGCCCACUGUACACGUCACAAACUAGCAUACAACCGGCUAGCAACGAGACCCGACAAAAUGCCACCCAAACAGAAGCAAGACACAAAGCAGGAUGAGGACUUCCUGACCCUCACUCAAGUAAACGAAUUACUGCAGCAACAAAAAAAAGCUUUUUACAGCGCUCUUGUAACAACAACAGGAAAAUUUCAAAGGAUUUGUCAAGAUGAUACUAGACUCAACAAACUCACGACUUGACACCUUUACCAGGGAAGUCCAAGAAAUAAAAACCAGCAUCAACUUUACCCAAAAAGAGGUAGACGACAUAAAAAAAAAUCUAAUCUGUCAAACUGGCCAUUCCAAAGACAUGCAAACAGAAUUCUACAAAAUAUGUGACGGCAUGCUAGUAUUUACAGACAAGAUGGACUACUUGGAAGGAC